GUCUCAGUUCGGAUUGUAGUCUGCAACUCGACUACAUGAAGCUGGAAUCGCUAGUAAUCGCGAAUCAGAAUGUCGCGGUGAAUACGUUCCCGGGUCUUGUACACACCGCCCGUCACACCAUGGGAGUCAGCAACGCCCGAAGCCGGUGACCCAACCGAAAGGAGGGAGCCGUCGAAGGUGGGGCCGAUAACUGGGGUGAAGUCGUAACAAGGUAUC
rnacentral:rRNA from 1 species